UACGUAGGGACCAAGCGUUGUCCGGAAUCAUUGGGCGUAAAGAGCGUGUAGGCGGCUUGUUAAGUCUUGCGUGAAAUCUCGGGGCUCAACCCCGAGCGGUCGUGAGAAACUGGCAGGCUAGAGUGCGGGAGAGGAGAGUGGAAUUCCUGGUGUAGCGGUGAAAUGCGCAGAUAUCAGGAAGAACACCCGUGGCGAAGGCGGCUCUCUGGAACGCAACUGACGCUGAGACGCGAAAGCGUUGGGAGCAAACAGG
rnacentral:rRNA from 1 species